UUACGGCCAUAUCACAUUGAAUCACUGGUUUCGGUACGAUCACCGAAGUUAAGCAACGUCGAGUCUGGUCAAUACCAAGAUGGAUGACCGCUUCUGAAUACCAGGUACUGUAAG